rnacentral:lncRNA from 1 species
UGAAAACUUCAACUCAUCCGAAAUUUCGAGUCAACCGAGUUCGAUACAACGAGAGUUAACUGUAUGUUAUUUUAGAAUAGGCUGGGGUGUUUGGGGUUAAACAUGCUUAAUCCUGUGUCGCUUUGAAGGUGUCAUGAUUGUCAGUCUCAGCUUAAGCAAUGUGUUACUGUAAUUUGAAUUCCAAAAUGACUGAGUGACGUUUUUUCGACCCACUGGUCAACUCCACCAUAGCGAAUCACAUGAUUUAGACAUGAUAAGUAAAUACCAGCG